rnacentral:rRNA from 1 species
UACUCCUACGGGAGGCAGCAGUGGGGAAUAUUGCACAAUGGGGGAAACCCUGAUGCAGCGACGCCGCGUGAGCGAAGAAGGCCUUCGGGUCGUAAAGCUCUUUUAUGAGGGAAGAUAAUGACGGUACCUCAAGAAAAAGCCCCGGCUAACUACGUGCCAGCAGCCGCGGUAAUACGUAGGGGGCUAGCGUUGUCCGGAAUCACUGGGCGUAAAGGGUUCGCAGGCGGAAUAACAAGUCAGAUGUGAAAGGCAUGGGCUCAACCCAUGUAAGCAUUUGAAACUGUAAUUCUUGAGAAGUGGAGAGGUAAGUGGAAUUCCUAGUGUAGCGGUGAAAUGCGUAGAUAUUAGGAGGAAUACCUGUGGCGAAGGCGACUUACUGGACACAAAUCUGACGCUGAGGAACGAAAGCGUGGGUAGCAAACAGGAUUAGAUACCCUGGUAGUCCACGCCGUAAACGAUGAGUGCUAGGUGUCGGGGGAGACCUCGGUGCCGGCGUUAACACAAUAAGCACUCCGCCUGGGGAGUACGUGCGCAAGCAUGAAACUCAAAGGAAUUGACGGA